AACCAUCUACCCUUAAACACAGAAGAAACUGAAAUCUGUUAAUUAACUUAAUGAUGAAUUCUGGAAGGAGAUCUGAAUAACUAUACAGGAAAAAAAAAUCACAGCGAUUACUAAGGAUACAGUGAGACUUGUCUGUAUGACUAAAUAAAUGUUGCAGCGGGACCCGAAGAGGAGAGCACCCUAAAACGGAGCUGUUACAGAUAAUGUGUUUCAUCUGCUAAAGAUGGCCCCAAAGCUAUUCUCAGUACAGCUCAGCUGCCCAUACAAGUGCCAUCUGAGCAGGACACCCGGAACGCAUGCGUUUUCAAGGAUGCCUGGCAAAUGAGUGUACUCCCUGUCACGUUCCCACGGGCUAGUUACAGGUCUGGAUUUUCCAGGGAAUGGAAUAAGAUGGCUUUAGUGCGUCCCUAUUUUAGUACAGAGUGGCACAGCACAUGUUCUCAUGUCACAAGACACGCUUCUUAUUACAUCACCUCCUCAUUUAAAUGACGGGCUGAAGAUGUUCCUUUUGGCAAUGUGGUUUUGCCUGAUGGCUGGCCUGCUGUACACCUCUGUAUAUGUAUGCCUCUUUUUACACGCCUUCUUAUCAUUAGAUCUGCCUGCUUUCUCCCCUCCUUUUUUGGAGAAUUAACCCAAGUAUGCAGACAGGAGGACUCUCCCUUUUGGGUUCGUAUGUAGUGUGUCUGGCGGAGCUUCUGCAACCUGCCACAUACUGUACAACUGUUUGUGUGGUACUCUUUAAUCUUAGCAGCACUGGUAGGUUGCUCAAACUGGUAGUCAGAUGGUUACACCAGGGCCAUAUUACUAUAUUUCACCAUAUUUUUCUCACUUUUUAAGAGCCAGCUGAAAAGAAGUGCUGGCAGAGGCCCUUCUGACAAUGGCAGCAACAAGGGCUUAAUUUGAUUUAUUCUUUAAAAAAAAAAAAAAGGCAAAACAAACAAACCUCAACAGAAUCGCUCCCUUAACAGUUAUUUCUUUGUCGGAUGCAGCUCCUAAGCCCUCGGACAGAAUUCUUCCUCUUUAUUCUCAUGAACUUGGAUUUCAUUAAUAAACUAGAGUCACAAAGUCAGGGUGACAGAGUUGCUUGAGGACAUAGUGUAUGUCCUUGGAUGAACAUGAUAAAUAUCCAGUAUCAUUUACUCAAUCAAAUCAUAAACAAAUUCUUAGUAAAAUGAUAAAACUUUGUAGACUGAAUCACUGCAUAUUAUCCAGUAUGUAAAUAAAGCCGACCCUUCUGUCUUGGAAAAAUUUCCAGCCUCCAAGUCUGCAAGCUUUGGAGUCUGUACUAAUGUAGGCUCUGUGUUAUGUCUAAAGAAUAAUGGAGAGAAUAAGACAGACACAGUAUAGCUGUGACUAACAACCCCGAUUCAAGUGCAGCUUUAGUAAGAAUACUUUCUUAGUGCAACAAAACCACUCUUCCCCUGCCCCAAAGACUCACUUCAGUGGAACAAGGACGAGUGUGGGUCUCAGCCCCCGGAGAGGGCAGGAGGCUGCAGAGCGUACUGGUGCACAUGCGGCUCUGGCACUACAGAUACGAAGGUGCUGAGGGAGCCGUUGUAUUUGUCCCUUUAGGGCGUGCAAAAUAUUUGCGAGACAACCUGCAGUGAGAGUAAACUACAAACCCACAACUCGGAUUCUGUAAGCCUCAGUAAGUUUUACGAUCUGUAUCACUGAUCCUGGGCCAUGUCUUGAACAAGUCUGGCUGGAUUUACCUAUUUUGGAUUACAUGUUUUACAAUGUGAAGUUUAAAAAGUUGAUAUAUAACCAUCUUUAGCCUUCUGGUUUCAGCUGCCACAAACAGUUUCUAAUACAAAUAUUCUUUUUAUGCAGUGAUGGGGGAAACAUGUAUGCAUGAACCUGGGUCACGCUUUAAACAAAACAAACUUAGAAAAUGGCACCUUUUAUUUUAAGUGUUAUUUCCUGAAGCACAAGGCAGUUCAUGCAGGUUUUCAGUAUAAAGCAAUCUUUGAAUUAAAGCAGCUGCACUGUGCUCCCAAAUGCAUAAUUACCAAAAAAAAAACAACCCUCUUUGUAAUACUUCACCAUAAAAUAUUUAAUUUCCAGCAAAGAUACUGACCCAUGUUCUGAAUCUGCAAGGACUCAUCUUUAUGCACUGUAUUCACACACUCCUUUGAAGUCCAGGGGAUUGCAUUCAGUGUUGAAAGUUUAACACAUCUAAAUCUUGGCAAGGUUAUAAAAUGUUUGAACUGAGUUUUGGGAAGCCCAUGGGACUCUUGAUAAUCGAAUUAAGAUGUAACUUCUUAGUGUUGCAAUGCUCUCUGUAAAGGUGCUAAAGGUGAAAACAAUAAAUAGAUUGAAAUGUAAAGAAAUUAUUUAGGUCAAGGUUGACAGUUGCUUAAUGGGCCUCCAGGGCCCUCCUAAGGCCAAAUAAACUCAAGAGCCAGAAGUCAUUAACACCUCUGAAAGCCAUGAUGUUGUUAGCAGGAGGUGUCAACCCUAUUAAGUCCUUUCUUCUCUCUGUGCUUCUGUACCGAUAACAGGGGAAUAAGAACAUUGAUUUCCUUUGUAGAUCAGCUGAUGAAAAGUGCCAGAUAAGCUAUUAUUAAUUAAUCCCUCAGCUACGUUUGUGAACAACUUCCAUGCAGCCUUUCAGACAGUUUGCAUCCAUUACAUUACAUUAAAACCACUGAUAUGUUUCCUUAUCAUCAAGAAUUAAAAUAUGAGGUUUAGACUGCCAGCACAGUCCUUUGUAUUGAUAUUUUGUAAGAGUUGCUUUCACGCUCUUCACCACAUGAUCUAGUAGCAAUCAAAAGAAAAGUUCAGAGAAUACGACUAUACGACUAUACUAUAUACUAUACGACUAUAACAACAUUUGUUUGUUGUGCUGGAAAACUGAUGUCAAACUCAUAUACAUGUCUUUUAAUUAUACCAAACAGUAAAAACCAUCACACCAGAGCGUGUGUGUGUCCUGCAUCUAGCCUAAGAGUAUUUCAUGAAGGCAUAAAAACAAAGUAGAGAGUCAUUCUGAAGACUACAAGAGAUUGGGUUUCAAGAGUAAUACCUGCUAACAGAAACACUGGCCCUACAGACUGUGUGUCAAAUAUUUACAGGGCUGAGAACCACAGCAUUCAUCCUGCCUUUCUCCGAGGGCUGGAGAAGGGCAGGCAAGGCACCCGCCAGAGGUGGCCCUGGCUGGGGGCAGUUUGGAGCUGCCUCCACAGUGGUCCCACUUUUGGGCUUUGGCUGCCCCAGUUGGGUUAUGCCUCCUCUGCUUGGGACUACAGCUACUCGGCAUCCUUCAGACUGAAAUCCCUCUGUGCGCGUAGGCCUGUUGCAAGUCGGGGGCAUUGCCCAGCAUGGAAAACCCACCUUGUCACUCAUGCGCUGCAGUUUUCUGCCUGUGCUUGUGGGCAUAAUGAGUUAAGGAGAGAUGGUAUAAAUUUAUGAGGAAAGUGUUUAAUAACUGCACAGAACUGGCUGAAAGUUUGCUUCUGCAAGGACUCUGCAGGCAUAUGAAUAAAACUCAACAAGGCAGAGAGGGGAAAAGACAGUGUUUCACCUGAAAAAAAGAUCUGUAUAAACAGCAAAGCUGACAGAGAAGGGCAAAGGUUGAUUUAAAACAAAAUAAGUCACCCUGGACAAAAUUUGCAGAACGUAGACACAAGGAGGGCAGCUGGGAAACGUUUAGCUGGAAGCAGCCAGUGAAAAGACAUGGAACUGGGUUUUAAUUACCCUGUCUGGGAAAAGAUUGUAUAGAGAUUAAGCGAAGGGCAUGUUUGCAGAGAUAAUACAGCUUAAGGGACAGCCAAAAGAUCAGAGGUUGUCCUGGGCUUUACCAGCGCCUUUCACCUGGUGAAGCCACGUCUUGCAGCACUAACUGAAAGCACAAUACUGCCAGAGCAGACGGGCAGGCUCUUACGUUCACUUUGUGCAGGUGCUUUAAACCACUGAGGCAAAGCAAAGGCAUAGAUUGUGAUGAAAGGAUUCAAGAAUGACAAAAACAGUUGAUGUUUUUGGUUAAAAUUAUUAUAACUUAAAGAUCAGCCUACAGAUGCAUCUCCACGCUAUAUUUCAGGUAGUUCUGGGUAUGUCUGCAUGGCAUACCCUGAGAUACAUCAACAAGCUCUUGUCUGUGCUCCACGCCAACCAGAAGCCAUGCGACUGCACUAGCUAAGUGCCAAGCCUUAGCUAAAAAUUCCCCUCGAGAGCAGAGUAUAUUGACUUUGAAUCAGCACCAGGCUAAUGACAUGACUUUCAGUUGGCUGCUUAGGCAGCGUUCAGUUGCGUUCAAUGAGAUUAUACUAUGCAGAAUUAUUCUAUAUGACGGCUGCUGAAAGGAUACUUGUUUAAUGAAAAAAACCGCUUACUACUGACUGCUUUUUUAUUUAUUCCGCUAUAUCAGUACCCUGGCUGCUAUACUUAAAGGUAGAGCCCUGGAUGGAAAGGGAGCAAAUCAGCGUGCGGCACCUCUGGCGCUGCGUCAGUUUACAGCAGCUCUGUGUUGCGGUGCUCAGCCUUUACUGGACUGGGUCCAGCGUCCUUGGCUGAUUCCAGAGGUGGGAAUCAACUUUUAAAUAAGUAAUCAAGUCCAGAAAGUGCUCUCCUUGCCAUUUGCCGAAGUGGGGCCUACGGCCUUCUCAUGAGCAGCUGGUUUUCCUCGUCAUCUGAGGUCUUCCCUGAUGCGCAUAAAAUUAGUUGCCUGAUUAGCCCUCGUAAAAUCUGCGUGUUAAUCCCAUGUGUGUCACUGCAUUCUGCCUGCAAGAGCUGCUGAUGUGGAUUCUCAUACCGCUGAAGUGUACUUGUCAGGAGAGCAUUCUGGGUUUUCUCUCCAACGAAUACGUGGCCAUUUUUAUAACAGAAAAUGAAAGUCAAAUAUGUAAAACGAAAAAUGUAUGAAGUGAGUGAGAAAUUCAAACCCUGAGCUCAUCUGCCAAACUUCUGACAUCUGUCUGGUCUCAGGUCUCUCUCUGGACAACA